rnacentral:rRNA from 1 species
GAUGAACGCUGGCGGCGUGCCUAAUACAUGCAAGUCGAGCGAACAGAUGAGGAGCUUGCUCCUCUGACGUUAGCGGCGGACGGGUGAGUAACACGUGGAUAACCUACCUAUAAGACUGGGAUAACUUCGGGAAACCGGAGCUAAUACCGGAUAAUAUAUUGAACCGCAUGGUUCAAUAGUGAAAGACGGUUUUGCUGUCACUUAUAGAUGGAUCCGCGCCGCAUUAGCUAGUUGGUAAGGUAACGGCUUACCAAGGCAACGAUGCGUAGCCGACGUGAGAGAGUGAUCGGCCACAUUGGAAGUGGAACGCGGUCAAGACGACUACGGGACGCAGCAGUAGGGAAUCUUACGCAGUAGGCGAGAGCUUGACGGAACAACGCCAAGUGAGUGAUGAAGGUCUUGGGAGCGUAAAGACCUGUUAUGAGGGAAGAACAAAUGUGGAAGGAGAUAUGCACGUAUUGACGGUAACUAAUCAGAAAGCAACGGCUAACUACGUG